AAGGUGGGGCUGAUGACUGGGGUGAAGUCGUAACAAGGUAUCCGUACCGGAAGGUGCGGAUGGAUCACCUCCUAACAGGGAGACAACACAAUGAUUUUGAUGCCUGAGUACUUUUAUUCUUAGGCCGAAAUCCUGUCACCUUAGGUCGAUCGGUACCUCAGCUUUGAAGUCAAGGAUCAGCAGCAAUGUUGAUUGCUUGAUGGAGAUUUUUAGUUCCUAAACUUUGUCUAGGUCACACCCCAAAAGGGAUGAGACUCCUGGGCCAUUAGCUCAGGUGGUUAGAGCGCACCCCUGAUAAGGGUGAGGUCCCUGGUUCAAGUCCAGGAUGGCCCAUUCGGUGUUGGGGGUUUAGCUCAGUUGGUAGAGCGCCUGCUUUGCAAGCAGGAUGUCAGGAGUUCGAGUCUCCUAACCUCCACUGACCGAACUUGAUUCCCAUCUCCAAUUUUUUGGAGUUGAGCUCGAUUGGAGUGUGAUUUAGAUGUGUCCGCUGGAUGAUCCCAGCUUCCUGUCAUUCCAAGUUUUAGAUUUUAAGUCUUAAAUUUGGUUGAUAAGAUGCUGGGCUCGGAUCAAAUAAUCAAGCAAUUGAUGAUUUGAUUUGAAGUUCUAGCAGAACCUUGACAACUGCAUAGGUGAAGUCUGGAAAAACAAAGCAUCUUACAGAUGCAUUGUUUUGAAUCUGAUCUUCUGAAAGGGAGAUUGGAUCUAGAACAAUGAAAAUUCUUUUGAGCAAGAGCCGAGACUCUUAAAUGUUCUUUGAUUCGUGUCGAGCGAAUCAGAGUUUGAUCUUGUUUUUAGCAAUAAAAACUUGAGAAUCUGCUUUCAACGGCGGUAAGCGUUUAAGAGGUUAAUUGGUCAAGCUACAAAGGGCUCACGGC
rnacentral:misc_RNA from 1 species